rnacentral:pre_miRNA from 1 species
UGUUAAAAAUUUCAUUUGUUGUAUUGCUAAAAAUUGGCGUGGUUGAUGAAAUAAUUAGGCACGUUACGUGUACUUCAUGAUGACAAAUAGAAAUUAGUUUCUAACAGUAGAAAUGAAUUAAAUUUUUAAUA